CCGUGCCCGGCCCCAGCCGAGGAGACAGGUAUAUGCUGGUCACUUUCGAAGAGCCGCCCUAUGCUAUCAAGGCUGGAUGGAAGGAAAAUCAUGCAACGUUUAUGAAUGAACUGAAAAACCUUCAGGCAGAAGGACUUACGACUCUUGGCCAAUCCCUAAGGACAGCUUUUGAUUUGUUAAAUUUAAAUAGAUUAGUAACUGGCAUAGACAACUAUGGGCAGGGAAGAAACCCUUUUUUCUUGGAGCCAGCAAUAAUUAUUACAAUCACUGAUGGAG